AUUGAACGCUGGCGGCAGGCCUAACACAUGCAAGUCGAGCGGAUGAAGGGAGCUUGCUCCUGGAUUCAGCGGCGGACGGGUGAGUAAUGCCUAGGAAUCUGCCUGGUAGUGGGGGAUAACGUCCGGAAACGGGCGCUAAUACCGCAUACGUCCUGAGGGAGAAAGUGGGGGAUCUUCGGACCUCACGCUAUCAGAUGAGCCUAGGUCGGAUUAGCUAGUUGGUGGGGUAAAGGCCUACCAAGGCGACGAUCCGUAACUGGUCUGAGAGGAUGAUCAGUCACACCAGAAAUUAAACAAGGACCAGACUACUAAGGGAGGGAGCAGUGGGGAAAAUUGGGCAAAUGGGGGAAAGCUUGCCCAAGCAGGGCAAGGUUGUGGAAAAGGUCUUCGGAUUGUAAAGCACUUUAAGUUGGGAGGAAGGGCAGUAAGUUAAUACCUUGCUGUUUUGACGGUACCAACAGAAUAAGCACCGGCUAACUUCGUG
rnacentral:rRNA from 1 species